AUGCGGAUACUGCUGACGACACUGUUCGUGGUGGGUCUCACCCACGCCGAAGAGCAGUGUAAAAAAGUUCCUGAUGACGCCGUCAUGAAAACGGCGCAACCUCUAGCUGAGAAUAUCAUGAAUAAAUGUAUGCAUCUCCUCGAUAAAUAUCCCGUUCCUCUGAACGUCAUUGGAGAGGCUCUCCGCAUCAUGUGUUCAGACUACGCUAAAUGUCACGACAAACUCGAAAAAAUGGCGUCGGAUGAGACUAAGUACCGAAAAGAGAUUUCUCUCUGCGUUCGACCUCAUCUGAUCACUUUCUUGAAAGAACGACCGGAGAUCGACCACGAUCCCGAUAAGCUGGCGGAUGAUAUCAACGAGUGCAUUCUGGAACACAUUCCUCUGGAUAAGAGUUUGGGAAUCGCCACCGGUGUGUGGGUGAUGAAAAUCCUUGGAAUUCCAAUCGAAGCGUGAGCACCGAUGGUCUUCGAGAGCGGGCCCGAGGCUUUGCUCGAUAAGCUGAGCUUAUUGUGCGAAGCGAAUAGUAUCUCCUAG